AGACAAAAUAUGGAUAAAAAGAAGACAGAUGUACUGGCUAACUAAUCGAAAUUCUAAACUUAGCAUGGAAAAUAAAUUAAAAAUCUACAAAACGAUACUGGCAACAAUAGUCAACGCCCUCUGGUAUGUCAGAAACGAGGAUAUACGCAAAGACCUAGAAAUACCAACGGUCGAAGAAGAACUCGGCAGAUACGCAAAAUAUACAAGGAAAGAACGGAAACAAAUCCAAACCAGCUGGCUGAUAAAGCCAGCAAAACUCGCAUAGGAAGAACAUUAAAAAGAAAACACCCCAGUGACCUCACUAAAGAAAUAAAAUAGUCAAACUUGAAAAUGGUACUCCGCUGGGAGUAGCCAUCCACAUGUUAUUUAGCUAAAAAUUGUAAAGUACAAAUUAAAUAAUAAGAGAAGAAUUCAAAGUUCUAGAUGGUUGGAAAAGUCGACCGGCGCCACUCAUCCAAUUUAACGUCGGAUUUCUUCAACCGAAGAGUCGGUCGACAACGAAGGUCGUACACAGGUUCGUUUGAAGCGCUCUUAAACCCGAAUCAAAUGGACGAUAUUUAUAUCGUCUGUCUGCCAAUCGCACAGUGGUACCAGUUGCGAUGUACACACCCGUCACUUGUAUCAAUACGCACAGAACUUGUAAUAAACAAGCGAAAAUUCUGCUAACGGAUAUGUAAGCCUAUGUUGGCUAAUAAAAACACUUUUAUUCGUAUAUCUUAAAGCUCGGUGCAGAUGAGCGAUAUUUUAUUGCAGGGCAUCGCUCCGGUGCCGUUGGAAAAGGAGAGAAAUAAAUAAAGUUCUCCUGUUUCACAAAAGAAGGAUACAUACAUAUGUAUUUUCUUGUUCUUCCAACCCAUUGCCGUUGCAGUCAUUUGUUGCAAAUUAGAUCGUUUGCAUCGGACCCAAAUCUUGAGGUUAAAAUCUUUUGUUACAAAUUAUUAAUUAGAUCUAUUUAUAACAUAUGCUAAUCCCAUAUGUUAUAAAAUCUCUGCCGGUGCAGUGGAAAACCCAAGGGUAAGCAUUUUGAAAAUAAGUGCAUUAGAAGAGGAAUUAGAACGGCCUUCUCUUACUACAAGAAAUAUAAUAGCAGCAAAAAUAUAUCAUUAAGAGUUUCAUAAUAGAUUUAAUAAUAAUGAUUUAAUUAAAGGAAUUAUUUACCUUUACCCCUUAUAUUUUGAGAGGGCUACGAACAAUGUACAUCUCCUUCAAGAGGCUAAUUAGAAUACUUCCUAUCAUAUACAUUGCCACAUCAUGAAUGAAAUACUUUCCAAUCAGCUGGAACCUCGGCGGGACAGCCAGGUAAGUUCGGUAAAACCCAGAACUCCAGAAGAGGCAUCCUGAGUUCGAAUCCUGGAUCUUUAAGAUAUUGCACUCAUCUCAUCAAAGGACCGAAGAGGUCGAAGUCCAGUUAAUAGGUUAGUAAUACACUACACGCUAGCGGCCGCCCCUCCCUUGCGUGUAUUGUGUCGGCGUACUUCCUGGAAGUGCGCUAUAUAGAGACUGACGUGUUUUAAACACAUAGGGGUCCUCGGCAAUUAGGAUGUCCACAUUACUGUACUGUCCCGCCCGUGGAGGUUUUAGCCGGUAAGAAUCCGGCACUACCUUCUGCCGCCCACACAAUGGUGUGGUAAGGUGUCUAUGAAGAUUUCCUCCACGAAAAAAAAAAAAAAAAAAAUUUGUAGCAUAAAAGGAGAGACGUUUAACGCUUCCCUAGACAAGGAUGGAACACAUAUAUAAAUGGAUUCUACCAAAUGUCCAAAUUGGACAAAUUGAAAAUGAAAAGUAUUAAAUAAAAAAAAAAAAAAAUACAUUUUUAAA